AUGUUGUGGGAGUGGGAGGACGGCGACGAGGCGGCGCGGACGGGCGAGGAGGUCCCCGUCGAUUUCGACUUCUUCUCCUUCUUCGAGCCCAAGGAUUACUACAAGAUACUGGAAGUCGAUUAUGAUGCGUCGGAGGAGACAAUCAGGUCGAGCUACAUCCGUCUGGCGCUGAAAUGGCACCCUGACAAGAAACAAGGUGAAGAAAAGGCAACAUCCAGAUUUCAGGACAUUAAUGAGGCCUACCAAGUUCUUAGCAAUCCAGUAAAACGGCAGGAGUAUGACAAGAAAGGUGUUUUAUACGUUCAGGAUCAGAAUGCAGCGGAUUACCUGAACCGACACAAGGGUUUAAUACUUACAUGCAAUGGCCUUGGUGUAAGGUACUCGGUGUGGUGA
rnacentral:rRNA from 1 species